UCAGGUGCUCUGUCCUGUGCAUUUUACGUCUCUGGCUUAGGUACAGGAGCUGCUCAAUGAAUACUUAAUGAAGUAAAGAUCACAGUAUGCAUCGAAGGUCUUCUCCCACCUUUAAAAAAAUGAAAUACAGGAAGAAGACAAAGAAAAAACAGAAAAUCCACUCUGGGAGUGUUGGGAACAAAGCCCUGGGACCCUUCCUAAGGGCCUGACCUGCCAGAUAAGCACCAGGCGCCAGCAGGCCAUAGCUUCUUACAACCCAUUGUUCCCAAAACUGUUUGCUUUGGGACACAUCCGUGACCACCGAUGUGACCACCGAUGUUAUCUUCGGGCCUUGUAACUCUUUAACCCACCUUCUUAGCCUUGGGAACUUCCCACCAAGGGUCUUGGUAUUUUUCCACUACUACUUCCCUUUCUCGCCCCUCUCCCCCGCCCUGCCAAAACCACGUUUUAAAAGAAACACCAAAGUUCAAUAAAGGGGACACUUGACCGGCAA